rnacentral:rRNA from 1 species
GGUUAAGCGACUAAGCGUACACGGUGGAUGCCCUGGCAGUCAGAGGCGAUGAAGGACGUGCUAAUCUGCGAUAAGCGUCGGUAAGGUGAUAUGAACCGUUAUAACCGGCGAUUUCCGAAUGGGGAAACCCAGUGUGUUUCGACACACUAUCAUUACGUGAAUACAUAGCGUAAUGAAGCGAACCGGGGGAACUGAAACAUCUAAGUACCCCGAGGAAAAGAAAUCAACCGAGAUUCCCCCAGUAGCGGCGAGCGAACGGGGAGCAGCCCAGAGUCUGAAUCAGCUUGUGUGUUAGUGGAACGGUCUGGAAAGUCCGACGGUACAGGGUGAUAGUCCCGUACACCAAAAUGCACAGGUUGUGAACUCGAAGAGUAGGGCGGGACACGUGGUAUCCUGUCUGAAUAUGGGGGGACCAUCCUCCAAGGCUAAAUACUCCUGACUGACCGAUAGUGAACCAGUACCGUGAGGGAAAGGCGAAAAGAACCCCGGCGAGGGGAGUGAAAAAGAACCUGAAACCGUGUACGUACAAGCAGUGGGAGCCUCUUUAUGGGGUGACUGCGUACCUUUUGUAUAAUGGGUCAGCGACUUAUAUUCUGUAGCAAGGUUAACCGUAUAGGGGAGCCGAAGGGAAACCGAGUCUUAACUGGGCGUUAAGUUGCAGGGUAUAGACCCGAAACCCGGUGAUCUAGCCAUGGGCAGGUUGAAGGUUGGGUAACACUAACUGGAGGACCGAACCGACUAAUGUUGAAAAAUUAGCGGAUGACUUGUGGCUGGGGGUGAAAGGCCAAUCAAACCGGGAGAUAGCUGGUUCUCCCCGAAAGCUAUUUAGGUAGCGCCUCGUGAACUCAUCUUCGGGGGUAGAGCACUGUUUCGGCUAGGGGGUCAUCCCGACUUACCAACCCGAUGCAAACUGCGAAUACCGAAGAAUGUUAUCACGGGAGACACACGGCGGGUGCUAACGUCCGUCGUGAAGAGGGAAACAACCCAGACCGCCAGCUAAGGUCCCAAAGUCAUGGUUAAGUGGGAAACGAUGUGGGAAGGCACAGACAGCCAGGAUGUUGGCUUAGAAGCAGCCAUCAUUUAAAGAAAGCGUAAUAGCUCACUGGUCGAGUCGGCCUGCGCGGAAGAUGUAACGGGGCUAAACCAUGCACCGAAGCUGCGGCAGCGACACUAUGUGUUGUUGGGUAGGGGAGCGUUCUGUAAGCCGUUGAAGGUGGCCUGUGAGGGUUGCUGGAGGUAUCAGAAGUGCGAAUGCUGACAUAAGUAACGAUAAUGCGGGUGAAAAACCCGCACGCCGGAAGACCAAGGGUUCCUGUCCAACGUUAAUCGGGGCAGGGUGAGUCGACCCCUAAGGCGAGGCCGAAAGGCGUAGUCGAUGGGAAACAGGUUAAUAUUCCUGUACUUGGUGUUACUGCGAAGGGGGGACGGAGAAGGCUAUGUUAGCCGGGCGACGGUUGUCCCGGUUUAAGCAUGUAGGCGGAGGUUCCAGGUAAAUCCGGUACCUUUUAACGCUGAGGUGUGAUGACGAGGCACUACGGUGCUGAAGUAACAAAUGCCCUGCUUCCAGGAAAAGCCUCUAAGCAUCAGGUAACACGAAAUCGUACCCCAAACCGACACAGGUGGUCAGGUAGAGAAUACCAAGGCGCUUGAGAGAACUCGGGUGAAGGAACUAGGCAAAAUGGUGCCGUAACUUCGGGAGAAGGCACGCUGAUAUGUAGGUGAAGUGAUUUACUCAUGGAGCUGAAAUCAGUCGAAGAUACCAGCUGGCUGCAACUGUUUAUUAAAAACACAGCACUGUGCAAACACGAAAGUGGACGUAUACGGUGUGACGCCUGCCCGGUGCCGGAAGGUUAAUUGAUGGGGUUAUCCGUAAGGAGAAGCUCUUGAUCGAAGCCCCGGUAAACGGCGGCCGUAACUAUAACGGUCCUAAGGUAGCGAAAUUCCUUGUCGGGUAAGUUCCGACCUGCACGAAUGGCGUAAUGAUGGCCAGGCUGUCUCCACCCGAGACUCAGUGAAAUUGAACUCGCUGUGAAGAUGCAGUGUACCCGCGGCAAGACGGAAAGACCCCGUGAACCUUUACUAUAGCUUGACACUGAACACUGGUCCUUGAUGUGUAGGAUAGGUGGGAGGCUUUGAAGUGUGGACGCCAGUCUGCAUGGAGCCAUCCUUGAAAUACCACCCUUUAAUGGCUGGUGUUCUAACGUGGACCCGUAAUCCGGGUUGCGGACAGUGUCUGGUGGGUAGUUUGACUGGGGCGGUCUCCUCCUAAAGAGUAACGGAGGAGCACGAAGGUUAGCUAAUCCUGGUCGGACAUCAGGAGGUUAGUGCAAAGGCAUAAGCUAGCUUGACUGCGAGAGUGACGGCUCGAGCAGGUGCGAAAGCAGGUCUUAGUGAUCCGGUGGUUCUGAAUGGAAGGGCCAUCGCUCAACGGAUAAAAGGUACUCCGGGGAUAACAGGCUGAUACCGCCCAAGAGUUCAUAUCGACGGCGGUGUUUGGCACCUCGAUGUCGGCUCAUCACAUCCUGGGGCUGAAGUAGGUCCCAAGGGUAUGGCUGUUCGCCAUUUAAAGUGGUACGCGAGCUGGGUUUAGAACGUCGUGAGACAGUUCGGUCCCUAUCUGCCGUGGGCGCUGGAGAAUUGAGGGGGGCUGCUCCUAGUACGAGAGGACCGGAGUGGACGCAUCACUGGUGUUCGGGUUGUCAUGCCAAUGGCAUUGCCCGGUAGCUAAAUGCGGAAGAGAUAAGUGCUGAAAGCAUCUAAGCACGAAACUUGCCCCGAGAUGAGUUCUCCCUGAGACUUUAAGUCUCCUGAAGGAACGUUAAAGACGAUGACGUUGAUAGGUCGGGUGUGUAAGUGUAGCGAUACAUUGAGCUAACCGAUACUAAUGAACCGUGAGGCUUAACCUU